CGCAGCGAUCAGUGUAAUUGCGUCACAGCAAUCACCGGUUAGGGUUCAAUCCCCACCGCUGUCCGUAUGGAGUGCAUACAUACUCUCUGGGUCCACAUGGGCCAUAUCAUUCUGGACCUUAAGGUACAAGAUUGUGUUGGAACAACAACCUUGCACUCAACGUCAACAAGAUCAAGGUAUUGAUUGUGGACUUCAGGAAGGGGAAGUCGAGCGAACACACACCAGAAGGCACCACAGCAGCUAUAUUACAUUAGGAGUUUAAGGAGAAUUGGCAUGCCACCAAAGUCACUUGCAAAUUUCUACAGAUGUACCAUGGAGAGCCUUCUAACUGGUUGCAUUGCUGUCUGGAAUGAAGGGGCCACUGCACAGAAUCAGAAAAGGCUACAGGCUCAGCUAGCUCUAUCAUGGGCAAUAGCCUGCCUAGCAUCGAGGACACGUUCAAAAGGCAAUGCCUCAAAAAGGCAACAUCCAUCAUUAAGGACCCCUAUCACCAAGGACAUGCUCUCUUCUCAUUUCUACCAUCAAGGAGAAGGCACAGGAGCCUGAAGACACACACUCAACUUUUCAGGAUGUUGUGCAGUCAUGCAACAUGCAAAUCAUUUUCUAAUUAUCUAAUAGUUUGGCUUCAAAAAUGUGUGAACUUAAUUUGAACAUCCAAAAGAAAAAGGGAGUAUUUGCAUUUGUAUAGUAUCUUACAAAAUAGAACAAUGAUCCAAAACACAUUCUUGACAAAGUUAUGACUGUUAUUUAAACAAACUAGGUAAAUUAAGAUUUUCACAUUAGACUUGAUAUUUGAUAAGUAUGGUGAACAUUUAGAUAUAUUCAAUUUAAUCUCCUUUAGUGACACUGGCUAACGAAUAAAUAUUGGUCAGGACACUGGGAGAACUUGCUGUACUUUUCAAAUAGAACCAGCAUGGGAGACCUCAGUUUUAUGUAUCAAAGCUUGAAAUUUUUGGCAAUAUUACAUUCCCUCAGCUGGACCUCAUGAUCCUGAAUAAUAAUCUUGCAGUAAUGAAUCAGCUUUUCUCACGAGGAGUGCAAUGUGUACCCAAUUUAUCCUGAUGAGAUAGGAACACAGCUCAUAAGUUUUGCACAUUGGUAGUUUGUUAGUGUUUGUUAUUAAUAGUUUUUCAUAAAUUAAAGCCAGAAACAGUCCCUUUGGUCCAUCGAGUCCGUGUCAAACAAUUUAAACUGCCUUGUCCCAUUGACCUGCACUGGGACCAUAGCUCUCUAUUCCCCUGCCAUCCAUGUAUCUAUCCAAACUUUCCUUAAACUUUGAAAUCAAGCUCACAUUGUUUGGCAGCACGUUCCACACUCUCAUGACCCUCUCAGUGAAUAAAUUUCCCUUCAUGUUCCCCUUAAACUUUUUACCUUUCACCCUUAAGCCGUGGCCUCCAGUUGUAGUACCACCCAAACUCAUUGGAAAAUGCUUGCUUGCAUUUACCUUGUCUAUACCCCUCACAAUUUUGCAUACCUCUAUCAAAUCUCCUCUCAGUCUUCUAUGUUGCAAGGAAUAAAGUCCUAACCUAUUCAAUCUUUCCUUAUGACUCAGGUCCCCCAGUCCUGGCAACAUCAUGGUAAAUUUUCUCUGCACUCUUUCUAUUGUAUUUCUUUAUUUUCCUGUAAAUGCCUGCAAGAAAACAAAUCUCAAUAUAGUAACGGUGACAUAUAUGUAUUUGGAUAAUAAAUUUACUUUGAAUAACUGGAUGUUGAAAAGAGAACCCAAACAAUACUUUUAAAUUUCAAAAAUGGAGCCUGGAUGCUGUGUCUAGAAGAGGGGAUUUCAGUCUUAGACUAUUGCAUAAUUCAUUUAAGAAGGAAGGUAUCAAAGCUGCAGAGAAAGACCAGGAACGUGGUAUUGAGAUCAUCAAAGAUCCUCACCAUCCAGCUCAUGCUCCGUUUUCACUGCUGCCAUUAGAUAGUAAGUACAAGAGCCUCAGGACUUGCACCAACAGGUUCAAGAACAGUUACUAACCCUCAAUCUCGAACAAAAGGGGUAAGUACACUCAUUCUGUUUCUGGUGUUCCCACAACCAAUGGUCUCACUUGAAACACUCUCUAUCUUGUUAUUUCAUGCUCUCAUUUUUUAUUGCUGUUCAUAUUUGCACUUGUGUAGUUUGUUGUUGAUUGAUCCUGUUUACAGUUACUGUUCUAUAAAUGUGUUAAGUAUGCCUGCAGGAAAAAGAAUCAGUGUUGACAUAAAGUGCAUGUACUCUGAAAACAUAUUUUACUUUGAACUUUAGUGGAGCAGGUAGGAAGGAUUGUUCUCUCUUUUUCCAUUCCCCAUUCUGGGUCCUCUCUUAACCCUUCUCCUCAACUCUCAUCCCUCAGAUUCCCUCCCUCCUUCCCUUUCUGUGAUUGUCCACUCUUCUCUCCUAUCAGAUUCCUUCUUCUUCUUCAGCCCUUUACCUCUUCCAUUUAUCAUCUCCCAGUUUCUUACAUCAUUCCCCCCUCUGCCGCCCACCCACCUGCCCUCUUACC